AGCUCCAAUAGCGUAUAUUAAAGUUGUUGCGGUAAAAAGCUCGUAGUUGAAUUUCUGUUGAGAAGGAACGGUCCAUACCACGUAUGCGUAUCUGUCUUCUUCUCGGCAUCUUCUCGGACGUCGUUGCUGCGCUUAGUUGCGUGGCGCGAACCUCGGGACUUUUACUUUGAGGAAAUUAGAGUGUUCACGGCAGGCUAUCGCCAGAAUACAUUAGCAUGGAAUAAUACUAUAGGAUCUAGGUUCUAUUUUGUUGGUUUCUAGAAUUUAGAUAAUGGUUAAUAGGGACAAUUGGGGGCAUUAGUAUCAACACGUCAGAGGUGGAAUUCUUGGAUUGUGUUGCGACUAACUACUGCGAAAGCAUCUGUCAAGGAUGUUUUCA
rnacentral:rRNA from 1 species